UACGUAGGGCGCAAGCGUUAUCCGGAAUUAUUGGGCGUAAAGAGCUCGUAGGCGGUUUGUCGCGUCUGCCGUGAAAGUCCGGGGCUCAACCCCGGAUCUGCGGUGGGUACGGGCAGACUUGAGUGCAGUAGGGGAGACUGGAAUUCCUGGUGUAGCGGUGAAAUGCGCAGAUAUCAGGAGGAACACCGGUGGCGAAGGCGGGUCUCUGGGCCGUAACUGACGCUGAGGAGCGAAAGCAUGGGGAGCGAACAGG
rnacentral:rRNA from 1 species